rfam:Paramesorhizobium deserti strain A-3-E Scaffold12, whole genome shotgun sequence.
UGUCAAGAGUCUUUAGCGUCAUUUGGCGAGCGGAUUUCUUUUGCCUGAUCGAAGGUGAAGGAAAAUG